AGGGUUCGAUUAUGGCUCAGGACGAACGCUGGCGGCGUGCUUAACACAUGCAAGUCGAACGGGGCUACUAUGAUGGAGUUUUCGGACAACUGAUUAGUAUGCCUAGUGGCGGACGGGUGAGUAACGCGUGAGUAACCUGCCUUUCAGAGGGGGACAACAGCUGGAAACGGCUGCUAAUACCGCAUAAUAUAUACAGGUCGCAUGAUUUGUAUAUCAAAGAUUUAUCGCUGGAAGAUGGACUCGCGUCUGAUUAGCUAGUUGGCGGGGUAACGGCCCACCAAGGCGACGAUCAGUAGCCGGACUGAGAGGUUGAACGGCCACAUUGGGACUGAGAUACGGCCCAG
rnacentral:rRNA from 1 species